AUGGCUUCCCUCAUCUAUGCCAAGCCGGCCGGAGGGCAGGGAGAGGAGCUCCUGUUGAGGCGGCGGGGCUUGGUGCACGCUGGUUCCUCCGGAUCGACUCCCUACUCAGAUCUGCACGCCCCUGAUGAUUGGAGGUGUGCCUUUCACAUGUUCGUUGAGUUGCUUAAUGUCAUUUUUUUUUUAAAUCUGGAGUUAUGCAAUUGCAGCAACAAGGACGGAUGGCCAUCUUCACAGGUUAUGCCCCUUACUGUAAUUUGCAUUCAGUCAUGUGCAGUAAUAAUGCCAUAUUUGUUAGCCUGCUAG
rnacentral:rRNA from 1 species